GAUGUAUUUCAAGGUCUACCUUCAAACUCAUUGCCUCUUUGCUUGACAUCAUGGGAGAAAUCUAAAGAAAUCCCCAAAUUUGUAGACCUCCACAAGUCUGGUUCAUCCAUUGGAGCAAUUUCCAAACGUCUGAAGGUACAACGUUCAUCUAUACAAACAAUAGUACACAAGUAUAAACACCUUGGGACCACGCAGUUGUCACACCGCUCAGGAAGGAGGCACAUUCUGUCUUCUAGAGAUGAAUGUACUUUGGUGCGAAAAGUGCAAAUCAAUCCCAGAACAACAUCAAAGGAACUUGUGAAGAUGCUGGAGGAAACAGGUACAAAAUGAUCUAUAUCCACAGUAAAAAUAAUCCUAUAUAGACAGAACCUGAAAGGCUGCUCAGCAAGGAAGAAGUCACUGCUCCAAAACCGCCAUAAAAAAAGCCAGACUACGGUUUACAACUACACACGGGGAUAAAGAUCUUACUUUCUUGACAAAUGUCCUCUGGUCUGAUGAAACAGAAAUAGAACUGUUUGGCCAUAAUGACCAUCGCUAUGUUUGGAGGAAAAAGGGGGAGGCUUGCAAGUGAAAGAACACCAUCACAACCGUGAAGCACGGGGGUGGCAGCACCAUGUUGUGGGGGUGCUUUGCUGCAGGAGGGACUGGUGUACUUCACAAAAUAGAUGGCAUCAUGAGUUCCGCCCACUCUGACUCUGGUCCCUGUCUCCAGUUCCACGUCUUCUCUCGUCAUCCUGUUACUCUGUCCUGGAUUCCCCACUCUACUGCUCCCUUGGAUUCCCCUCCAGACCUGCUUACCCUAUCCCAGCCCCUCUCGCUCCAGCCUCAGCCUCUGCACCCGGUUUCCUGCAACCCGCCCGAGCUUCCCCUGGCCUGCACUCCAUCUUCCCCUUGUGUUUCAAUAAAUACCUUGGUUACUUCAUCCAAGUCCCUUCAUCUGAGUCUGCUCUUGGGUUCCCCUGUUCCACUCUGCGUAACAACCUUGGGUUAUAUAAAUAUCAUUGCCAUUCUGCACAUUGUUUACAAUCCCAGAACACAGGGUGCAGCAGGAUCUAUGAUAAAUAUUGUCUUUAGUGAAGAGAAGAGGAAAUCAAAGGAGAGGAAAUUGAUGUAAUAUCAAUGUCAUCAUUCUUACCUUGCUUCAAUUUGAACAAACUGCAUAACAGUUUGUGUAAUAGAUAGUCUAGUAAAGCCCAGUUAAAAAUUUAAGGAAUGACAAGCCCAAAAUCCAACACCAGAUUUGGUAGAUACCACCCACAUUCAAGUGCUAC
ensembl:lncRNA